GUUAAGGAUUAAACGAAGAUAAUGAGACAACUGAAGUAGGAAAUUGUAAACACAAACAUAAAAUGUAGCUGUAUUUAUGUACAGGACAGUCUCUAACUGGUCUGGAGGAAUAAUGAAGUGUAAAAUCUGAGUUUACACUAAUGACUAUGGCUGUGGGAAGCAGUGACAUAUUUAUAUGGAUUAUUUCAGUCAGUGUCUUGUAAGAGAUCUAUUACUGUGGUCAUUUAUUACAAACAGAAUAGCUUGUAAGUUUACAUUGCCAAAAGUGGUUAAUUUCCUUUUAGAGUCAAGUUCUGUGGGAACAGAGGGAUUAUUUAACCUCUGAGUUUUAUGCAUAGCUACAAUAAUUUCCUGUGGUGAAAUAUUAUUUGUAUUUUUUCAUGUAUUCAUUUAAAACACUGUUGUAAGCCUAGGACUCCAGACUCCAAUUACCAUGGUUCAAGUAGACCAUAAACCAUAAAAAGACCGUCCAAUACUAAAGUCAAUAUUAAAUGACAAUGUAACUAUUAGGUUUAAAAAUGGAAGCUUGAAUAAAUAAGAUAGCAGACUAGUGGGUAACAAAAUCACUCUAAUCUUACGAGACUGUAAGAUUUGUGUAAAAACAAUUAUCACUAUGAAUUUCUGCCAAGUAGGACAUUAGCAUUUCUGAACAAAACCUCUAUGUACCUGUCUGAAAUUCAAGUAGCAAACACAUUCAUGAAGCAGUGGUAGAUGUACAGUAAAAAGAAAAGAAAAAAAUAUUCUGAGGCAGUCAAAAACAGGUUGUUGCUACAAUUGUUUGGUACCUUUUAUUAACCUUUUUUUUUUUUUUUUUUUUUUUAGAAAAUUCAGCUUUAUGGAAAUUGAUUACCAAAGAUGAAAGCCAUCUUGAGGCUGUGAGCUGAAGAUUAAAGCAAACAAGCAGCUUUUUAUUAUUGGAGAUACAAAAACAAUAUUGUCACAGAAGACCUAUCCAUCCAACCGUUGGUUAUCUGAGAUCAGGUCAAUGGGCUAAUAGGUCUGUUGGGAAACCUAGAUGUCCACUUUCCCAACAACACUCUCCAGUUCGUUCUGAGGUGUCCCUAGGCAUUCCCAGGUCAGAAGGGAUGCAUCGCCCCUACACCUUUGUGAUUCUGCCCUGGGAUUCCCCUUCAAAGGAGAGGAUACCUAGGAGGCACCUUAACUCACCCUUCUGGUUGACUGUGACCCAUACCCUAAACCAAAGUCAUCUUUUGAAGGAAGCCCAUUUCAAUCACUAAAAUCUAGUUCUUUCUUCACCACAACAGACCAUGGCAACCCAUCAUCAAUGUAUGAGCUGCUAAUCCUUCCAUCCAUCUCUUGCUCCAUCCCAUUAUCACUUGUGAACAAGACACCAAGACACUUAAACUAAUCCUCUGAAGGCAUACACUGAUGCCUAAACUGGAGAGAAGUAUUCACCUUUUCCUGGAUAUGAUCCAUGGUCUCAGACAGGAAAUAUCAUUCUAGCUAAUUCAAACUUGGAUGCAUCAAACUUUAGUGAAUGUCUAAAAUUUGUUGACAUUCACUAAGAUCCCAACAGGACCAAAAAGCAAAAUGCCAAGAUGAAACCCCAGAGAUUGCCUAAUCAGACACCCUUCUCUCCACAACUAUCCUUUCAGAUCCUGCCAGUGAACACCACAAACAAGAUCAGUGCCAGCCCUGGUUGAGGCCAGCCUGCACUUGAAACAAGCUUAACAUAGUGCUGAUGGUGCAGACACAGCUCUUGUGUUGAUUGAAGGACAACAGUACCCUGUUCUCUGACAGGACCCAAUACAAAAUGUUUUGGCAGACACAGUCGAAUGGCAUGUCAAGGUCCAUAAAACUCCUCUGGACCAGACAACCAAACUCAUCCUAAACCACUUGGUGAUUCCAAAAGGGUUAAUUUCCAGGUCACUCUUCAACAACCAGGAGAAAAACCAAAAUGACACUGGUGAAUCAAAGGCUUCUCCCCUUUCUCCAAAGAUACUGAAGACAUCUGUCAUUAAUGAAAACAUAAUAACAUGUACAUCUUCAGUAUGUUGGUUUAAAUCUUGGCAACUUGCUGCCUGGGAGCUUUUUAAGUACCAGAGCAAACUCUGCACUGGUGAAGUUUCCCACAAGUCCUUUCAUUGUGCCUUUCCUAAAUGGAUAUGAUGGCAUUGCGAAUGAGGCAAUCAAAUAAGUAUUCCUUAUACAGUUUGACAAUAGCCAGGUCUUCAGUUCACCAUUCCAAGGUAACCUAACAUGAUGGUAUUAUUCAUCUUUCUAUUGAAAUUGCUAAACAAACAAUACUUCAAAAACCUUUCCAAGGCCAAAUGAAAGUCAUUUUGCAAUGCAUCUUCAAAAUCCUUGAAAACUUAAUUUUUCACACUUUUAACCACAAAAAUCACACUUCUGCUGCACAUCUGCUGUGUCUCAAUUUGUUCAGAAAUCUUAAGAGUAAAAAAAAAUUCCCAAAGGCUUCCCUCCUCAGCUUGAUGGUAUCUGUCAAAAGCUCCUGUGGUCUCUAAAGUCCAUAGUUCAUGAAAGCUACAUCUGCAAUAUGGAGAUCCUGCGCAAGGCCAGUUCAAAAUCCUCAACUUUUCCUGGAUUACUUUGAAAAACUCUCCAGAAUGAGUUGAGAAUGUCCUGAAAAGGAUUUACUGCCAGGUAUUCUCAGUUCACCCAUAUCACCUAUUUGAGUAUCACCAGCAGGUGGUGAUCAGCUGACAACAAUGCCCUCACUCAAAGAUAUAACACAUAGAUAUCAAUAUAUAAUUACAAAAUCAGUCAGACUGACCAUCUUGUGUUAAAAUCAUUGUGCGUGUCCAGUUCCUCGCAAAGAAGUUUAAAAAGAAAACAUCACUUGUAUUAUAAGCAACCCCAUUAUUAUCCACUAAAGCUACCCAGGAGCUCAUCAGAAUCCCCAAAUGGUAUCCUUUGCAAAACAUCAUUCGGAAACUUCAAGAAGACUGAGUCAUUUAAACAACUGUUUGGUUCAUACACAACGACAACAGUCAGGACCUUCCCUCUUUCAAGUCAAAGACACACAGAGGUAACAGUCUCUCUCUUUCUCUCUCUCUCUCUCUCUCUCUCUCUCUUAGUGGGGAAAACUCUAACACAGAGGCACUCACUGGUGCAUUAGCAUUGGCACUGCAGCACAGACACCAGCUACAGGAAAUUAGAAAAAAAGCAGUUUAAACUGCUAUUAGUAGGGCAUUAAAUAGCAGUUUAAUGUCCUACUACACAUGGCACUCUUCAAAAGUUAAAGAGGAAAACUGUAGCUUGUCUUUCGGAAAUUAUAAAAUGUACAAGUGGUAAUAUUUAUGUGAACAGCCUUGUAUUUCUGUUAGAAUCAAUCUCAUGAAAAAUA